ACCCCGUGGGAAGAGACGUCUGAUAAUGCCUUCUGAUUGGCUGUAACCCCGUGGGAGGAGACGUCUGAUAAUGCCUUCUGAUUGGCUGUAACCCCGUGGGAAGAGACGUCUGAUAAUGCCUUCUGAUUGGCUGUAACCCCGUGGGAAGAGACGUCUGAUAAUGCCUUCUGAUUGGCUGUAACCCCGUGGGAAGAGACGUCUGAUAAUGCCUUCUGAUUGGCUGUAACCCUGUGGGAAGAGACGUCUGAUAAUGCCUUCUGAUUGGCUGUAACCCCGUGGGAAGAGACGUCUGAUAAUGCCUUCUGAUUGGCUGUAACCCCGUGGGAGGAGACGUCUGAUAAUGCCUUCUGAUUGGCUGUAACCCCGUGGGAGGAGACGUCUGAUAAUGUGAUCAUGGACUUCUGUGGAGUCGAGACACCGGAGGAUGUCACCAUGGAUACCACCUGAUGUCGCCAUGGAUACCACCUGAUGUCACCAUGGAUACCACCAGAUGUCGCCAUGGAUACCACCUGAUGUCACCAUGGAUACCACCAGAUGUCGCCAUGGAUACCACCUGAUGUCGCCAUGGAUACCACCAGAUGUCGCCAUGGAUACCACCUGAUGUCGCCAUGGAUACCACCAGAUGUCGCCAUGGAUACCACCUGAUGUCGCCAUGGAUACCACCAGAUGUCGCCAUGGAUACCACCUGAUGUCGCCAUGGAUACCACCAGAUGUCGCCAUGGAUACCACCUGAUGUCGCCAUGGAUACCACCAGAUGUCGCCAUGGAAACCACUCACUGGCCAUGCCAGCCAAUCAACCGCGAGGAAUCUAGACGGUGACCUCAGAGCCAGGUCGUCCAACUGAGCCUUUUUUGCUGGAGGGUGUGAGUGAGAGUUAAAGGAGUAAGAAGAGUGUGUGUGUGAGAGUUAAAGGAGUAAGAAGAGUGUGUGUGUGUGUGUGAGAGUUAAAGGAGUAAGAAGAGUGUGUGUGUGUGUGUGUGAGAGUUAAAGGAGUAAGAAGAGUGUGUGUGUGUGAGAGUUAAAGGAGUAAGAAGAGUGUGUGUGUGAGAGUUAAAGGAGUAAGAAGAGUGUGUGUGUGAGAGUUAAAGGAGUAAGAAGAGUGUGUGUGAGUGUGAGAGUUAAAGGAGUAAGAAGAGUGUGUGUGUGUGUGAGAGUUAAAGGAGUAAGAAGAGUGUGUGUGUGUGUGAGAGUUAAAGGAGUAAGAAGAGUGUGUGUGUGUGUGAGAGUUAAAGGAGUAAGAAGAGUGUGUGUGUGUGUGAGAGUUAAAGGAGUAAGAAGAGUGUGUGUGUGAGAGUUAAAGGAGUAAGAAGAGUGUGUGUGAGUGAGAGUUAAAGGAGUAAGAAGAGUGUGUGUGUGAGAGUUAAAGGAGUAAGAAGAGUGUGUGUGUGAGAGUUAAAGGAGUAAGAAGAGUGUGUGUGUGAGAGUUAAAGGAGUAAGAAGAGUGUGUGUGUGAGAGUUAAAGGAGUAAGAAGAGUGUGUGUGUGUGUGUGAGAGUUAAAGGAGUAAGAAGAGUGUGUGUGUGUGAGAGUUAAAGGAGUAAGAAGAGUGUGUGUGUGAGAGUUAAAGGAGUAAGAAGAGUGUGUGUGUGAGAGUUAAAGGAGUAAGAAGAGUGUGUGUGAGUGUGAGAGUUAAAGGAGUAAGAAGAGUGUGUGUGUGUGUGAGAGUUAAAGGAGUAAGAAGAGUGUGUGUGUGUGUGAGAGUUAAAGGAGUAAGAAGAGUGUGUGUGUGUGUGAGAGUUAAAGGAGUAAGAAGAGUGUGUGUGUGUGUGAGAGUUAAAGGAGUAAGAAGAGUGUGUGUGUGUGUGAGAGUUAAAGGAGUAAGAAGAGUGUGUGUGUGUGUGAGAGUUAAAGGAGUAAGAAGAGUGUGUGUGUGUGAGAGUUAAAGGAGUAAGAAGAGUGUGUGUGUGAGAGUUAAAGGAGUAAGAAGAGUGUGUGUGUGUGUGAGAGUUAAAGGAGUAAGAAGAGUGUGUGUGUGUGUGUGUGUGUGUGAGAGUUAAAGGAGUAAGAAGAGUGUGUGUGUGUGUGUGUGUGUGUGAGAGUUAAAGGAGUAAGAAGAGUGUGUGUGUGUGUGUGUGUGUGUGAGAGUUAAAGGAGUAAGAAGAGUGUGUGUGUGAGAGUUAAAGGAGUAAGAAGAGUGUGUGUGUGUGUGUGAGUUAAAGGAGUAAGAAGAGUGUGUGUGUGUGUGUGUGAGAGUUAAAGGAGUAAGAAGAGUGUGUGUGUGUGUGUGAGUUAAAGGAGUAAGAAGAGUGUGUGUGUGUGUGUGUGAGAGUUAAAGGAGUAAGAAGAGUGUGUGUGUGAGAGUUAAAGGAGUAAGAAGAGUGUGUGUGUGUGUGAGUUAAAGGAGUAAGAAGAGUGUGUGUGUGUGUGAGAGUUAAAGGAGUAAGAAGAGUGUGUGUGUGUGAGAGUUAAAGGAGUAAGAAGAGUGUGUGUGUGUGAGAGUUAAAGGAGUAAGAAGAGUGUGUGUGUGUGUGUGAGUUAAAGGAGUAAGAAGAGUGUGUGUGUGUGUGAGAGUUAAAGGAGUAAGAAGAGUGUGUGUGUGUGAGAGUUAAAGGAGUAAGAAGAGUGUGUGUGUGUGAGAGUUAAAGGAGUAAGAAGAGUGUGUGUGUGUGUGAGAGUUAAAGGAGUAAGAAGAGUGUGUGUGUGAGAGUUAAAGGAGUAAGAAGAGUGUGUGUGUGUGUGAGUUAAAGGAGUAAGAAGAGUGUGUGUGUGUGAGAGUUAAAGGAGUAAGAAGAGUGUGUGUGUGUGAGAGUUAAAGGAGUAAGAAGUGUGUGUGUGUGUGAGAGUUAAAGGAGUAAGAAGAGUGUGUGUGUGUGUGUGUGAGAGUUAAAGGAGUAAGAAGAGUGUGUGUGUGUGUGUGUGAGAGUUAAAGGAGUAAGAAGAGUGUGUGUGUGUGUGUGUUAAAGGAGUAAGAAGAGUGUGUGUGUGUGAGAGUUAAAGGAGUAAGAAGAGUGUGUGUGUGUGAGAGUUAAAGGAGUAAGAAGAGUGUGUGUGUGUGUGUGAGAGUAGCAGAGAUCUUUAUGUGUCAGUCGAUGUGUAACUAAGAGCAGGAAGGAUGACCAUGUGUACGUGUGUGUAUGUGUGUAUAUGUGUGUAUAUGUGUGUAGGAUGUGUGUGUGUGUAUGUGUGUGUGUAUAUAUGUGUAGGAUGUGUAGGAUGUGUGUGUGUGUAUGUGUGUGUGUAUAUGUGUGUAGGAUGUGUAGGAUGUGUGUGUGUGUAUGUGUGUAUGUGUGUGUGUAUAUGUGUGUAGGAUGUGUAGGAUGUGUGUAUGUGUGUGUGUAUAUGUGUGUAGGAUCAGUGGGGAUGUGUGUAUAUAUGUGUGUUUGUGUGUAGGAUCAGUGGGGAUGUGUGUGUAUAUGUGUGUAGGAUGUGUUGGAUGUGUAGGAUGUGUGUGUGUAUAUGUGUAGGAUCAGUGGGGAUGUGUGUGUGUAGGAUGUAUAGGAUGUGUGUGAUAUAGGUGUGUAAACAUGAAGUGUGUGUGAUAUAGAUGUGUAAACAUGAAGUGUGUGUGUGUGUGCAAACAUGAAGUGUGUGUGAUGCCUUCUCUCACACCCCUGAGCCCUGUGAAGAUAUACGCAGACCUCCUCAGUCCUGUGAACUCAACCAAACUGAUCCAGCUGUACUGUGCCCACCCCGCCGAUGGCAGCCGGAACUGGCCCGGAACUGGCCCGGAAGCUGGCCCACAUCUGCCAUAUAGCCCUCAACUCAACACUGCCUCACGGAGUCUGCGCACAGAGAAGGAGUUUAACGAGUUUAACGAGUUUAAAGAUUAGACUUUUGUACUGUUGGACAACAAUAUGCAGUCAGAACUGUGAUUCAUGACCUGUGAUGACAACAACAUACACACCCGACACUUUGUCCCUUUUUGGAAAUGAAUCGUUGAUGUUUGAAUAUUAGGUGUAUAAAAAAUAUAUUCUUAUCCUGUUUUUAAAACGA
ensembl:lncRNA